UACGGGGGGAGCAAGCGUUGUUCGGAUUUACUGUGCGUAAAGGGCGCGUAGGCGGCCAGCGCAAGUCAGUUGUGAAAUCUCCGAGCUUAACUCGGAAAGGUCAACUGAUACUGCGCGGCUAGAGUGCAGAAGGGGCAACUGGAAUUCUCGGUGUAGCGGUGAAAUGCGUAGAUAUCGAGAGGAACACCUGCGGCGAAGGCGGGUUGCUGGGCUGACACUGACGCUGAUGCGCGAAAGCCAGGGGAGCGAACGGG
rnacentral:rRNA from 1 species